GGCAGUUUCUGGAAAAACAUUUUUCUUUACAUUUCAUCUAUUUACAAUAUAAUGGAAAUCAGUAUGAGCUUAGCUGUUAGUUUUCAGCGUUAACAAAAA